UGAGGCAGUAGGAUCACUUGAGCCCAGGAAUUUGAGGCUGCAGUGAGCUAUGAUCACACCACUGCAUUCUCGCCUAAGUGACAGAGUGAGACCCCAAAUCAAAGAAAAAAAAAAAGACUCUUAAAUGACUCAUUGGCUAGAACUACCCACCUCAUGCCAAUCCCCUGACACUGAGAAUGGCAUUGUGAUUGGCUUUCAAUAGUAUUUGCCCCCAGAGAUGAGGUCAUCUUCCGUGAAGGUCAGAUAUCUACAGAAAUAAUUGAUGUUAGCAAGAAAGAAGCAGAGAAUGGGUGUUGAUAGACAAUGUCUGCUCUAGGGAUGGGUCAUUCUGCCAACAUUCAGCAAAUCCUUUGUCUACUCUCAAAAUGCCUGGUACCAGCUAAUAGUUAAUGUUUUCUGAGAGCAUUACUUAGAGUUUACAUAUGUUCACUUAUUUAACCCACAAAUCAACCUUUAAAGGUAGGUUCUGAUGUAGUGGGUUGAUACAAAAGUCAUUGCAGUUUUGCCAUUUUAAUGCAAUUACUUUUGCACCAAUCUAAUAUAUCCCCAUUUUAUAAAUGGGGAACAUGAGGCACAGAGUGGUUAUGUCUUACUCACAGUCAUUUGCAAGGGAGUGAUAGAGCCUAGAUACAAAUCAUGUCAGUCUGCCUCUGAGCCUACAUGUAUAGCCACUAUACUAAACUGCCGUUUUACCUUACAAAGCAGAACAAGACCAGGUUCUCACUUUCAAGGAGUCUACAGUCUAGUCUAGGAGCCAGCAAACUUUCUCUGUAAAGGUCUGGAGACUAAAUGUUAGGUUUUGCAGCAGUGUGGUCUCCGUUGUAACUACUCAGUUUUUCCAUUGUAGUAUAAAAACAGUUGUAGACAAGUCAUAAACAAGUGUGGCUGUGUUCCAGUAAAACUUGAUUUACAAAAAUAGGCAGCUGACCAGAUUUGUCUCAUGAGGCAUAGUUUGUGGACCUGAGGUCUAGUGAGUUAGAAUACUGCUUACCAAAUUUUAAUGUUUGUGUGAUUCACGUAGGAUCAGUUUAAAAUGCAAAUUUUGAUUCAAUAGGUCCGGAGUAAGGCCUAGUAAAAGUGUAAGUGCUAUGCUCUAAAAAUGUCAAGAGCAUGAUUAUCACCCUCCUCUGGGAGCAUUUGGAGAUGCCUUGUUGCAGGAACCCAUUCAGCCAAGCUGUCCUGGCAAACCAUACCUCCCACAGCUCCCUCCACACCGGCUGUUUGUCCAAUCUAACUUUGCACCGGAGCAAGAUGUGUUUUCCCAGGAUGAGGAGAGGAAGGUUAGCCCACGCUGCUGGAUGUGGAAGGGAAUGGGAACCAGGGAAAGAAUGGUAACUGGGGAGGAAGGGAAACCAUGAUACUUUUGUAGUUGAAGGCCUAACUGGGCGCGCUUUGCCAUAACUUGGCCCCUCUGCCUCCUUUCCACUGGGAGUGCCAGAAAUCACAGGGCAGCAGUCGCUCACCUGCCUUUAUAGACAAGAAAAUGAAACCACGAAAGGGUGAAUUUCAGCUAGCCUAUUGCCAUCACUCUUUUAUGGUAUAAAGGAUGAGAGAGGCGGUGAGGGAGACAUUGCCCCAAACAUGAUGUCCACAUCCUGAGACUUGCCUGAUAUUUCAUAUUACACAAAGACAACAUUGACUGGUUUAAGAGAAAAAAAAAAAAAAGGAAAUCCAGAAGAAUGUUUUAAUUAUCAAGCAUGAAACAAGUGAAAAUCAUCAGAAUCUUUUUCCUUCUGUGACUUGGUGGCAACAGUCUGUAAAGCCAAGGCCACCAUGAAGUGGUAGGGGAAAUUUGGGCACCCAGUCACCUUGGCAGACACACGAUGCUAUUUUCAGACUUGUGGAGCCUUUGCGCUGCCUCCCUGUCAUCCUCACCUGUCUUCUCUGGUCUGAAAGUCCGUUUUAACUCUGCUUUGUUGGAGGCAGAAACAAGCAUGUGACAGGCUGCAGAGAAUUACUCCUGGCUCUGAUGUCUCUUCACCAGCUUGACAAAACCUGGUUUCUCCACCUGUCUUUACUCUCUAAGCCUUACCUGCAAGCGCUUCCAUGAAAGCCACCACCACACCAUCUCUGGGAUGCAGAAGGUUAGGAGGGAAGAAUUAAAAAAACAAAACGAAGGUAACAGUAUCAAGAUCCAAACUUAGAAAACAUUUCUUGAAGUGACAUUAUCUGCUCCUUUUAACCCCAUCCCUUUGUCACCAGUGUUUGUUUAGGAAGUGUAAGCUAAUUUUAAUAUUAAAAUGUAGUGAUUAAGAAGGUAAGUUGUGAAUAAUGUAUGAGUCAUCCACACUUUUGUCUUUUUUCCCACCUUAUGUUCCAUGCUGCACCCUGUUAUAAGCAGAGUUGACUGUGAUUACUUCCAGAAACUUUGAUUAACCCAUGAGAGUAAAGACCUAGCUCGAUAAACACAGAAGUCCCUGAUUGCAGACAAAAGGACUCAAAUAUCAACAAACACAAUGAUUUGUUUAUACUGUGUUCAACUGGAUGUGGUGACUUGUGAGCAUAGGUAAUCAGCCCUUUUGCCCGCACCCCUGGGUAAAGAAUCAUUCUACUCCUGAAACUAUCAAAAAGAUUAACCAUGAAUGUUGAUAUGAAAUAUCUGCUUUUCAUGCCCUGACACUAAGGAGAAUAGACCUUAUUAAGGAAGGAAAAACACUUUUGGAGUGUACCUCCGUUACACAUGCUGCUUGCAUGGAAUCCAAAUUCAGUGAGCUGACGGCAGGCCAGUUCCUUGCCACUUUGUAAAGUUUACCCUCUGUUAUCUAUAAAUGCAAGUGGCUUAUUCAAGAAUAGCAAGGGCAGCUCUCAUUAAGGACUCGUGCAUCUCCAGGAGAAUCAUAUGGGCUUGGCUGGCAGUAGAAUAUUUUCUUGGGGACAGAAUGUAUUAUAGAUGAUUUAGGCAGGAGGUUAGAUGAGAAAGUUCCACAAAAAUCUAGGGAUUAUUUAUUCUGCCCAAACCACCAUGUUCCUUCCUGCUUUCAUUUUUUUUGUUCAUGCCCUUCCUUCCACGUGGUAGAUUACCUUCUCUCCUCCGGCUGGGCAGGUAGGCUGCCUCUGCCCAUAAGGACCAAUUCAAGUUCCCUUUUCAAGAAGCACUGUCUUAUUGCACCAGCCAAAACUCUCCCCACUUUCUUUUUAGUUAUUUAUACUGCCUCUCUAGUCAAUGUGCAUGUAUAUGAAGUCCUCAGUAAGAGAUUAUAAUUCUUCAAGGGCAACAAACAUAACUUUUAUCUUUUUUAGUCCUAUUAUGUCCUUAUGCCCCCCAACUAUAUGUGUAUACCUAGUGCAUGAUAGGUACAAAAUAAAUAUUAAAGUUUACUUAAUUAAAGAUUGUUUAUUUAAGAGGCAAAAUUUGUGAAUAAGUCUGGAUCUUGAUACUGUUCCUUUCAUUUCGUUUAUUCCUUUCUCCCGACCUUCCACAUCCCAAAGAUAGUAUGCUGGUGACUUUUAUGGAAAUGCUUGCAGGUAAGGCUUGAAGUGUGAAGAUACGUGGAGAAACCACUGUAAACCUCUUUGAGAUUAACCACUUAUUUCAGUGGAGGGCACUGGCUAAUUUGUACCAGACCUGCCCCAGACCGUUUUGUACAUCUUGCAUGUGGGUGGGGACCCAAAAAGUUUCCUUUUCAGUGGAUUUAUUUGGAUGAGACAAAGAAAUCUGUUGCUCAAAUGCUUUCAUCAGAGGCUACCCCCUGUUCAGGUGUGUACCCUGCAUCCAUGUGGGUUUGCAGAUAGCAUAUGACAUUUGCAGCGCCAGAGCUCAUUGCCACAGAUCAAAGGGAAGUAAGCAUGCAUAUGUGGAUGCAGCGGGAAUAGCUGCGGUCUUUCUGCUGAAGAGCAGGGUUAUAUACCUCCUAUUAGAAAUCUAGAGAGGACUGAGGCAAGAGCUUGUAUUGAAACAAGCAAACUCCACGUACGGUUUUGGACAUGGAAGAAGGAGUACUGUUGGGGUGGAAUGAGCUCAGUUUUUAAUAAGAUUAGGAUUUCUGUGGAUUUUUCCCAAGUGAUAGAAAUUUUCUUCAUCUAGCAGGCAGCCUCACCCAAUUACAUCUCUAUGUUCAUUUCUGAAACUCCUUUGUUAAAAACAAAACUAAAUAGCAACAGAGAAGAAACUUUCUUCAAAAAACUCUUAUAUCUGUCAUUUCUCCUGUUCUCACGGAACUUCAAAAUUGCUUUUUCUUUAUUCCUUUUUUUUUUUUUUUCUAUAUCAGCUCAUCAGUCUUUGUAGGUGACUUGGCUACCCCACUAAUCUGAUUGUCUUUUUGAUAGUUAAAUCAAUAUGGACACCAACUUAAGGCCAUAUGUGAACCUUAAAUGCAUGAUAUUCCCUGUACUUGAUUUCACAAUUGAUAUUGUGUGAGGGAAGUUGGCCAAAUAUUCUCUUCUGUGAAGUCAGAAUAACCACCGACCCUAAGAAUCAACAUUUUGACCAAUUCUUUAUAUGUUGCAAACUAUUCACACAACUAGAAAGUUUAGCCGUUCACAUCUCUUCCCCUGGUUUUAAGUCCCAGCUUCUGAGACUCAGAAAGUUUAGUCACUUGAACUUUCUGUGGAAAAUCUGUUGUAAAAACAGUUCAGACAUUGGAAAAUAUAAAAUAGCCCCCAGAGAUCCUGAUAAAGCUUCCUCUCCCCAAAUCCCUCUACAGGUUUAUCCAUGAGAAACUUUCUGAAAACUGAUGAGAAAAUACUGAGUAAUUAAUGCUGAAAUGGGAAAGAUGAACCCAAGAACAAGUUUUCUGGAUCACAUAGGCUCCUCUGCUGCUUCCUCAGAAACAGAGAAGGUACUUGGUGCUGAAGAAAGAGAAAGAGACAGAGACUGGGAAGGAGAAGGAAGUCGGCACAGAAAGAAGAAAGAGGCACAAGAAAGAGAGAAGGGGAACUAAAAGCAAGAGGUAAGAACAGAUCUCAGUUCUUCAUUUCUGCUUGAGGACUCAUUGAGGCAUUGCAUUGGUUUAGGAGAGCAAAUGAGGUGUGACGUGUUAUAGAAAGUGGAUCUUAAAGCUCUUACUGUAAAUAACCCAUAAUAAGUAAAACUUUUACUAGGCAAGAAAAAAGGUAUCUAAAGAGAAAAGAGACAUUGACCUACAUAGAACAGACCAUUAUUGUAGAAAUGGGAAGGGCCAAACCAUUCUCAUGCUUAGCAUAAAUUUCCCCCUCUCUAAGGCGAUUGACCAUCUGAGUUUGUUUGGGAACUGUUUUGGUUUUAGCAGUGAACGUCUUGGAUCCCCAGGAAUUCCCUCAGGCCCAAGCAAACUAGGAUGGUAGGUCACCCCACCCCUGCCUGAAAUGUCCUCCUCCCAUGCCACCCCUCUCACCUCACCUCUUAAUGAAGGUGUCCAGCUGCGACUUUAAACACAAUCUCCUCCACAGAGCGUUCCGCGAUCCUCAAGCAGAACUGGCUCUUAUGUCUGUGUUCCGCGGGGCCUUUUACGUAACUCAACAAUAGCGCUUACUAAUCGUACGCUGUUUCCCACUAAAAUGUCUUUCUCUCUGGCACAGUAUAAACUCUUUAAAAGUAAUAGUCUCAUAUCUGAAUCUCUGGUUCAUAUAAUUUUCUGAUUAUAUGAAUGAAUAAGCAAAGGAGCAAAGGAAGUUUGAGAAAACUACGCGUAAAUUAUUCACUACUAAAUAUUAAACAUUACUUGAGAGAUUCCCACCAGCACCGAACUACCUGGACAUGAGAGCAAAUUCUGAAGGUCUGGAUCACAGGCAGACAAACAGGAGUAUUGGAAGGCAGAAGCCUCCCGCACAACAUUUUUCACCUGCUGCUAAUACGCUACCCAUAGUUCCCACCAUUAAAAAUCUAUUCUUUUGGGUUAAGCCAAAUUUCUCCCUUGCAUAGGACCUGCCCAGACUAUUGUUUAAAAUCUUGUUUUGCUAUUCACCCAGGUGACUGGCUUAGCAUUCAUAGCAAUCACUCAAGCAUUGAGGUCUUGCUCAAAUAGCCUAAGGUACCUGGCAACAUAGAAAUGGCUAUAUUUCUAGAUGAUAAAUACCUCAAUUAUAAGGAUUAAAAUGUUCUCUAGGGUAUUCUAUUUUUAAGUGGUUUGGUCCCAAAAGACCCCAAGCAAAGGCUUUGCUAUUAUUUUUUUGCUAACAAUUCGGCUAGGAGGAGGACUGCGUCCCAUCUGCUCAUGAACACUAAGUUGGUAAGAAUUUGUUGCUGUGCUGGUUAGAACCCAGAUUACCUGCAACUGUAUCUACCAUGGGUUCUGGGAGCUAAGUGGCUUCCCUAACCCUGGACUUAAAGUGUUCUGUGAGACGUGUGUUUCUAGAAGUGGGUGGAAGGUGGAGGGGUGGGAACCAUGUUGGGCACAUUUAUGAAGAGAGAGUGUGACAGACCUCUGGAAGUGUUGGCAAUGGAAAGGUGUGGAAAGUGAUAUAGUCUGAGAGGGAACAUUAUGUGAUCAGGGGGAAAGAGGUUUCUUUGUGGGCAAAGGGAGGUAAGACAUAAGAAGUCAGAGCGAAUGGUCUUCAGAAUAUAUAUCCAGAACCUCACUUGAAAAUACCAGGAAGAUAUCACGGUGGCCCCGAGCAGAGAGGAGAGGCAACACAAGAUUACAUUUGCAGACUUAGUUAUGAAAUGUAUAAUUUGAGGCCUAAUUUGUUUGGAAUGUUCCUGCCUUUUCGGCCUCUUUAGUUUAUAAUCUAAAACCAUCUUGUGAAAUAGUUUGAACCUGGAUCUAAGUUGAACAUGAAACACAGCUGAGUGUGAAAGAAAGUAAGUGUGCCACAAAUCUGCAUGAGAAAUAACUUAAGAUCAUUCAAUAAAUCCCUAACUGGAACACUAUGUGAAGGGCGCGGAGCAAACUUUCACAGCUCCCGUCACCUGCCAGCCUGGGGUACAGAGGGGUUGGGGAGGGUACGGGGCAGAACUCUGCCUGCUGUGCUGAGAACUUGCCACGGGGACUGUGCAGGCCCAGCGCUGGAUCAGGCGGGCAGAUUCCUGCUCAGUGUGUGCUUACAAUCUGUCUGACCUAAAACAGGAGCCACUGGAGAUUAUUUUCUCUCAGUUGUAAACCUUACACAUGAUAACUGGCCAAUGACAUGAGGCUGACGGGUAUAAUAUUAGAUUGUAUGUGAUAUUUUACAGUAAAUAGAGGAUGGGCUCUGGAGCCAGGCAGACCUGGACUUGAAUCUCAGUUCUGUCCUUCACCCCUCUGUGAUGCAGGGAGUGGAUUCAACCACUGAACCUGAGUGGAUUCAACCACUGAACCUUAUAGGGCCUCAAUUACCUAUGAUUAAAAUGAAGAUGACCAUCCCUCUAACAUCAGGCUUUGAUAGGCACAUCAAGGAAUGACGAGAGUGAAAUGUCCAGUGUAGAACUCAGCUCAUGGUAGGUAUUCACAUUGAUUCCUUUCUCCUUCUUAGGAAAGAGGUGAGAUUCACAAAGACACUGAGGCAUUUACUGAUUUCUACACCCACUCAGGCCACUGUCCUCUCAUCUGGAUGACCUCAAUAUCCUCGUCUGGCCACACGGACUGUGACUGGAAUCAGAGACGAGCCGUUGACUGCUAGCUCUCGUCAAUUAGCUACUCGGUGACCAGAGUGCAUGCACUACAUCAUAAAUCUCAUUUCAAAUCUCUGUUUGGAAUCCUUCAAUGACUUCACGUUCCCAGCUCUUUUGCAGGCCUUCGGGAGACCUUCCUGGGCUGGCCCCUACAUCCUGCUCCCGUUCGGGCUCACAGACUUCAAACGCACCCUUCCUGCCCUCCAGCACACUGAGGAGGCACUCACAUCUAUUCCUACAGUUCCCCAACGGGCUCUCCCUUUGCACAAUUUGCCCCUGUGCCUGAACAGCUUCCCCUAUCUCUCUUCCACAUGCCAUUUGUCUAUUUGGAUAGCUGUAAUCCAUCUUUGGGAUUCAGUUUCCAUGUCACUUCCAGUUUUCUCCAGCCAACGGCUAUUUCUCAUUCAGAUUUGUGGCACACUUUCUUUCACACUCAGCUGUUCGCUCUUUGCGGCACUGUGUGCAUGCACCCAUCAUAACAAGUAGUGCAUAACUGCUUGGGCUUCUGCAAACUCUACUGUGAGCCUCUGUGAGCAGAGCUUGUGUCUUGUUUACUGCUGUCCUCCCAGCACAGAGAAUAGCAUAGAGGCGAGACCCAAUAAAUACAAUUUGUAAACUUCUAGUUUGAAGUAAUGACGAUAGACUCAAAGAAAAAUUGCAAAAACCUUUCCUAGCUUUCUCUUACAUUCACAUCUUAUAAAACCUUAGUAAAACUAUUAAAACCAGGGAAUUAUUUAUACAAUACUCUUAGCUAAACUACAAACCUUAUUUGAAUUUCACCAAUUUUCCCACCAGUAGCCUUUUUCUUAUCCGCAUUGCAUUUAAUCAGUAUGUCUUCUUAAUCUCCUCCAAUCUGUGAGCUAGGUCCUCAGUCUUUCUUGUCUUUAAUGACAUUGAUAUAAUUUUAUUUUAUAGAAUGUUCCACCAUCUGGGUGUGUAUCUGGUGUUUUCUCAAGGUUAGAUGGAGGUUGUGCCUUUUUAGCAAUACGCACAGUGGUGUUAUGUCCUUCUCAGUGCAUAGUAUCCAGAGGCACACGAUGCCCCUGUGUCUUACGCUGGUCAUUUGCUUGUGGGGAAGGCUGUCAGGUUUCCCCUCCAUAAUGUUAACUGUCUUUCCCUUUGCAAUUAAUAAGCAUCAUGUGAGGAGAUACUUUAAAAUUGAUAAAUAUAUUUUAAUACAUCAAACGGCAGAAUCUGAAAGAAAGACAAUUAAAAAGAUAUAAGUAUGAGUUCUGUACCUGCAUUUUAAAAGCAUACAGUAAGGAUAAAAUAGAGAAAAUGAGAUAAUAAAUGAGACAGCAGGAUGGAUUUAGGCCACCAGCAUCACUGCACUUUCAGUCUCAUUCAGAGAACUAUAGCUUCUGGGUCUCGGGGUUAAGAGUCCUCUUCCUUUUGCUCAGGAGACCACCCUGGGAUAGCAUGUUUAGAUCCAGGCACCAUCCUUAAAGUUAAAUACAGUCACAUUGAAUCAAAAGUGCAUUUACGUUACCCAAAUGCUACCAUGCAACCUUGGCAAAAGAGAAAGACAACCAUCUAAAUUGUGUUUACAAGACAGUAAUCCUCGUUAUAUGUUUGUGCAUCCAACCCUUCUUUAUCCUACUAAUCUCAUAUUUUAUAUUUACAUUUUAAGAACAACCAAAUGGGUUUUCAAGAGUGAAGUGACUUAACACAAUUUUCUCUUAUGCUCAUUGUUCUCCACAGAGAACAAUUCCUUUGAAAAAUGUGACUCCAAUAUGUAACAAAUGACAGCCUGUCCAGAGAGGUGAGCAAAGAGAUUUUGGUCUGCUGGGGAAGAUUAAAGGAAUGGAUUAAAGGUCCUCACAUUUAGAAAGGGAACACUCACCAAAGUGCAGAGUAGUCAUCUUACUCAACCCGGGCUGACUAACAAAAUGCCAUAGACAGACUGGCUUUAACAACACAUAUUUACUUUCUCACAAUUCUAAAGGUUGGGAAGUCCAAGAUCCAGGUGCCAGCCAGUUUAGUUCUGUUGAGGGCCCUCUUCCUAGCUUGCAGAUGUCCUCCUUCUCACUGUGUCCUCACAUGGUGGAGAGAGAAGGGCACAUGAGAGAGAAAGGGAAUUAAGAAUAAGGGUGCAAAUUCUACCAGAUCAGGUCCCUACCCUUAUGGCCUAAUUUACCUUAAUUACCUGCAUAAAGGCCCUAUCUCCAAACAUAGCCACAUUGGAAGUUAGGAAUUCAACACAGGAAUUUGUGGGGGACACAAACAUUGAAUCCAUAGCUGUAGUUAUCCUCAAAUGUUUCUUAGUCCAUUACUUGUGUAACAGGAUGUUCAAGUGGGACUUCUCUUUAUUGUCUCACUGUCUGCUAGAGCCCUAACACUAAGCACAAUAGGUGCCAACUACCUUCAAAUUUAGAGAAAGGGGCAACACCAAUAAUUUGUUCCGCUUGCACUGGUCUAUCACUCAUCUCCAGAUGAUUUAAGAAAAGACUAAAUAUCCAUUAGGGAGGAGCAACAAAUGGUAAGCUUUCUUCAGAAAGAAAGUUGUAGCCUGGGCAACAAAGUGACACCCCAUUUCUCCAAAAAAAAAAAAAAAAAAAAAUCAGCCAGGUGUGGUAGUACAUGCCUUUGGUCCUAGCUACUCAGGAUCUGAGAUGGGAAGACUGCUUGAGUCUAGAAGAUUGAAGCUGCACUGAGCCUUGAUUGCACCAUUGCACUCCAGCCUGGGCAACAGAGCAAAAUUCUGCCUGAAAAAAAAAAGAAAAGAAAAGAAAAGAAAGUUGUAUGCUGAAAUGCCCUCCUAAUCCUCCACUAUUCAGGCCAACUGAGAUGAGUUUCAAAUAAUCUCUAACAGGCUUGCCAUAUAUUCCUUGGAAUUGGGGCAGAUUCUGGAACUGGUAUCUGCGUCACACUUACUUGGAAGAAAAUCUGAAGGAGGGAGUCUCUGGCUGUGGGCAGGGAGUAGAAGCUGUGCUGGCAGACUGAAGGGAGCUAUGCGAAUGGCAGGGCAAAAACACAUUUCCUAAGGUCCACAUGUGAACCUGAGGAAGAAACCAGCAUGAGGCAGAUUGAAAACUCUAUCCAAGAGGACCACAGGAAUUAGGGAGUGCAGGGUGGACGACCCCAGCAGAAGGAGACUGCAGUGAACCACCAGCCAUGGGCUGGGAGAAUGUCAUUAAUUUCUAGCCAAAGGAGACAUCCCUGCACCAGAAAACUGCAGUUGGAAGUCUCCAAAGGAGGAGCUUAGAAGAACCCAGAGACAUACCCAUGAAAGAAAGGAGGAGCACUUGGGGGCUCAACUCAGAGAGCCCUUACGCCAGAUCCUACCUGGGCUUGCCAAAUAAGGAAGACCUUUCCCAUCCACUGCCCUUCUCCUUCUACCCCUGGCCAGCCCUGAAGGAGCCAACAGCAACAUGAAGAGUGGGAAGUAGACCAGCCAGGAGGACAAAGAGAAGAGGCAAGUCUCUGCAAGUUUCCCAGCCCCAGCCAGGGCAAAGGUAGUGAUUGAGAGCUUGGAGUUUAAUAAAAUAUUGAACUGGGCUUUUAAUAUCUGCAAAAGACCAGAAUAUUCCAUGGGAUCUGCAGGAAGGAAGAAGGAAUUGAAAAAAGUUAUAACACAAAGUGGAGGAAAAAUAAAGUUUCCUUCUAUUAACACUGAUCCCUAUACAGCCAGCUUUCUGGGUGUGCUUACCUGUAAAGCCACACAGAGCUCUGCAGUUAGAAGGGUUCCACCCUUGGCUUAAUGCUCUGUUGCCAUCUUGAAAUUCUUAGUAGUUUUUAACAUGGGCCCCACAUUCUCAUUUUGCACUGGGCCCUGCAAAUUACAUAACCAGUCCUAGUUACAUAUAUAACAGGGACUUAGCCCUGUUCUAUAUGACCCCAAUUGAUAGAAUGGAACCAAUCAGUGGGAGGUAGAAAAAAAACCAGAUUUUAGCUCAAUACAGUAGUCCCCACUUAUCUACAGGGAAUAUGUUCCAAGACACCCAAUGGAUGCCUGAAACCUAGGAUAGUACCAACCCCAACUAUGUUUUUUUCCUAUACAUACAUACCUAUAAUAAAGUUUGAGGUGCAACAGCAAAACUACAUGAAUUUUUUUUUCUUCACAAUUUCACCAGUAAAAAAUUCAUUCUCACUGUAGAUCUCAGCAACUUUAAUAUUGUAAUUUUUAUUCUUUCCUUAUUAAGUCAAGAGCUCUCACCUUUUCACUUAACAGAAGCACUUCCCAGCUUCUUUUAGGCAUGUCCAAAUGGCCAGCAUCACCACUUUUGUUCUUUGGAGCCACUGUUAAGUAAAAUAAGGGUCACUUGAACACAAGCACUGCAAAACAAAUGACAGUCAAUCUGAUAACCAAGACGGCUCCUAUGUGACUCAUGGGUGAGUAGCACAGACAGCAUGGAUACGCCAGACAACAGGAUGAUUCAUGUCCUGGGUGAGAUGGAGUAGGACUGCAUGAGAUUUUUAUCAUGCCAUUCAGGAGGGCAUGCAAUUUAAAACUUAUGUGUAUUUCUGAGAUUUGCCAUUUACUAUUUCUGGACUGUGGUUAACCACAGGUAACUAAAACUGCAGAAAGUGAAACUGCAGAUAAGGGAGACUACUGCAUCAGGACAAGUUUGUUAAUACUCAUAGCUACCCAGAUUGGGAUAGGCAGUGUAAAGGAGUCAGAGCUUCUGUUCAUCAGAAUCCAUAUGGCAGAGGUGGGUCAGCCUCUUGGCACUCUAGGGCCUCCAAAAUCCUUUUUCAGCCCUGGGAUUAUCUGAUUCUUCGAUUAAUGAAUGUCUUGCAAGAUGCCUACCUUACCAACUUAACCAGGAAAUGAAUUCACUAGUACUGUGACCAGGUAAGAGUAUUUCCAAGGGCAGCCUAUGAGCCCUCGGUGGAUGGAGUUUCACUAAUUCCCUCUGUUUCUGUCUAAGUUGUGAACUGUUUUCCUUUAAUGAGAACAUUAUUGCCAUUACUCACUGUAUUUUUUUUUUUUUUUUUUUGAUCAUUGUUAGUUGGAUCUUAUUAUGGCUGGCACAUCAUGACUCCUUUAUUCUAAGAAAAAGGCUUUUAAGAAGUCCCAGAAAGUAUCUAGGGCUGAAAGCCACUUUCAUUAAUCAUUAUUUUGACAAAGAAGUAUAAACAAACUGACAAAUACUGUUUAAAUUUAACAUUAAAAUUCGAUGUGUAUGUCUCAGUUAUUGUGGUUGUCAUUAUUAUUUUUAGUCAGGGAGAUGGUUCCAGAAGAAAAGAAAGUCAGUUGCUUUCUGAGAUCAGGUGGGAAGUUUAUCCUGUCAGCUCCACCUUCAGAGUGCUAGUCUCUGGAGCCACAAGGACUGAAACUCUGCUUCAGAGAGCCACCACUGAUGACAACCAUCAGGCUCAAGAACCGAAAAGAACUGGUGCAAAUGUGACCGAGGGACUUGGGUUUUACAUUUAUUGCCGAGUCUGGUUUUCUUGAGUUUCAGGAUUCUCUGACCUUUGGACUCAGAUUGAAUCAUACCACCAGCUUCUCUGGUUCUCCAGCCUACAGACAAGCCUGUCAUGGGACUCCUCAGCCUUCAGAAUUGUGUGAGCCAAUUCCCAUGGUAAAUCCCCCCUUAUAUAUAUCUAGAUCUAACAUAUUUGUUCUGUUUUCCUGAAAAAAACCAACUAGCAAUCAUGCAUUGAGCACUUACCCUGCAAGCAGUGUUUCCAGUGCUUUACAUGAUCACUAUUAUACACCUUAGGACAAGCUUAGGACAAAUGAGAAAUGCUUGGGACCUUCUGCAUAUCAAUUUCUUAACAGCCUCUUAACCAUUACUAUGUUCCACAGGGUGGAUCCCACCAGUCUUGGUUUGGGGGAUAUACACAGCUAACAUCAACCCUGCACUGUCUUCCAGCCCCAGGAUGGAGGCUGGGAACUGUUAUUUCUACCUUACUUCAACCCUGCAGUAGCCCAGGUCCCACUCUCUGUUUAUGCACACACACCCUUAGCCCUUAACGUGAGAAUUAUAUGCGGUAGUUUGAAAAGAGAUGAGCUAAGUUUAAGGGCACCGAGGGCCAUCUAUCAUUCCUUCUAGACAAGAUCAUCUAACAUAGUCCCAUAGGCCAAGAGACACAUGUCAUGUGUUCAUGAAAGGGUGAUGGGACCCUAUAACUCAACUCUUGUGUGGCUCGCCAAGCCCCCGUGUAGGGUGGCGCUUGUGGCCUGAGGCCAGCCAACUUCUAAUGCUAUCACUAACUCUGUCCUUAUGGUUCCCCUGGCCUCGUGCUGAGCCAUACCAACCUUUCUCCUUAGGCAGGUCCUCUCCUUUUCUUACCCUCUCCAGCUCAUCUGCCCAGAGCAGUUUUUAUCUAAUCUUGAAAGUGUUGUGGUUUUUUGAUGCUUUUUAAUUAUCUUUCCAAUCUGUUGUCAUCAACUUUAGUCACUCUUUCUUCCAAGUGGCUUUUUUUGGAUUAUUUUCUCUGCUAUGAGUCUAAAAAGACAAUUUUAGAAUUACAGAGCAGAAAUUCCACUUGCUCUGUAUUUGACUGUGUUGACUCUGAGGUUUAAAGAAAAAAAAUUCCUGGGAACAAAUAGCAUAUUUGUUAUUAUGUGCAAACAUUUCCUGGCUAUAAGUGCUCUCUGACCUCCAGAUUAUGCCUCUGCACUCAGAAAAAAUAAAUUUUUAUUUUAAUAAAAUAACUUAAGACACACUCAAAAUCCUUGGAAAUGAUUGUCCUCUAACUCAUUAGGAUCUCUCUGCUUGCUUCUGUGGCUUUUCUAUUAAGCCAAAAGAUUCUAACUGUUCUUUUUCUUAAGGUGGAAUGUUUAGGUUUAAAGAUUCCCCAUGUCUUUCUUAGCAUGUAAUCAUCUCUGCCUCUAAGCAUAUUUAUAAAAUCUAUGAAGAAAACAUAAUAUUCCAUGCCUUAAGGGUUUAUUCAAACUCUUCAUCUAGUUUCUUCUAAUCAAAGCUAUGAGUUCCUGGUAAUUUAAGCUCAGGAAAAGUACAAACACAUCCCUAGAUUUUCUUCCUUCUAGAAUAGGGAUCAGCAAAUUUUUUCUGUAAAGGGCCAAAGAGUAAAUAUUUUAGGCUUUGUGGGUCACAUGGUCUCUAUCACAAGUACUCAACUCUGCCCUGUAGAAUGAAAGCCACUGUAGAACGUACACAAACAAAUGGACAUGACGCUGUUCUGAUAAAACUUAUUUACAAAACCUAGCAGUGGGUCCCCAGUUUACCCACCCUUCUUCUAGAUAAUGAGGGAGAAGAGGAGGAAGAUGUUGAUGACCAACUACAAUUAACAUUGAGUGCUUUGUCUGUGAAAAAUGCUGAGGUAGGUAUUCUGUAAGUAUUAUCUCACUUAAUCACCAAACUUCCAUACAUUAGGUACCGUUAUUAAACUCACUUUAUAACUGAAGAAACUUAGCUUUUAAAUAGGCUAAACCAUUUUCCCACAGUCAAAUAACUAGUAAAUGUUGGAGCCAGAACUCACAUCUGACAGCAAAGCUCAUGCUAAGCUAUGCCAUAAAGCAAACACAUUCAUCAAAUGACUCAAGCCUUUGGGUAAACUUGUUUAAGAAGCCACUUAAAAACACAAUGGUUUUUAAGCUUAGUAAAGUCUCAGGAUUCAAAUUCAAUAGGAAAAUUGAACAUAAUUUUAAUUUUCUUAAUCCACAUAGACUUUGGGUCACUGAAAUAUUUAGUUGAACAAACACUUAUUAUGUCUUUAUGAACCCCACCCUACAAUAGUGAUUUGAGGAACAUGAAAAUAAUAGAAUUUAGCUGCCUUAAUUCAGACACACUUGCAGUCUUUAUGGGGGACGGACCUUUCCUCCCCUUUCUUCUCUUACAGUUCAUCUUGGUUUGAGAAAGCAGGCCCACAGCUGGCAUUGCUUAAGGAAGGCAACAAAAUUUAUUUGAAAUUGUCCACAGCCACAAAUGUCUUUGCCUUUCCAGCCUCCUAUGAUUAAUAUUUUCACAUGGAUUUUUUUGUUCCUUUUAUGAUAGUGCUGUAAGCAAUUCCUAGGGAAUUUCAAGUGAUCUUACAAAAGUCUUCUCCCAAGAUUUAAAGCCCCAAGUCCUCAUAUAAUCUUUCCCAGGACAUCUUUUAGCUAAGAUGUUUACCACUGAGUAUCCAAGUCAAAGAAGCAUCCCAAACUGUCUAAUCAGUGUCUGUGGCUAUCUUAAAACACAGCUUCACCCCUCAACCCCUCUCCUUUCACAUGUCUACACUUCUACAAUUGGUGGGUCUCUCUGUGUUCUAGGGGGAUGAGUUAGAAAAUUGGGCAUGUUUGUAAUAAACAAAUGUACUUAAACAGUACAGAAUCACAUAAAGUAAAAGUGAAAGUUCCUACUCUCAUAAAGCUAACAACCCGUAAUAGUUUUUACCUCUGUCAGUUCCAAAAAAGCUUCUCUCUGCUAUCAUCCAUGAAAUUUCUUCUCUUUACCCACUCUCCUUACCCCACAUAAAAUGCCUUUUUAAUUUCCUUCCCUUCCAAGUAUAUCUGUUUAAUUGUUAUUAUGCCUCAUUUGCACUAAGUCCAAAUGGAAACCAGCCUAUGGUAGUGGGAUUUGGUGUUGUUUUCCCCAAGGUCAAACCUCACACAGCUGUUCAGACCGAGCCCUCUCCAGCUCCCAGCAGCUGCCCAACGUUUAUGUUAUGUUAGAGAUGUUCUCUAGUUGCAGAGCCCAGAGAGCUUGCUGUUCAGCCAAAAGAAAUCCUCAGGGAAAAGAGUCGGAAUGAGUGGUUGCACGUUAUGUGCAGGGUUGCUGGGCACCUCCUUUGUGUUGCAUUUCCCACACGUAAGCUAAUGCAAACCAGUGCAGAUUAACCACUUGAACCCACAGCUUUUUGCAAAACCCUGAGUUCUUGCUUCCUCCAUAUAUAGAAAGUUACCCUGAAAAGCCCAACAAUAUGCUAAGGACUGCUCUCUGGUAUUGAAAUACAUGUCUCUGGUUAAUAGUCACCAGGAAACUAAGAAAACAAGGUGGUGGGGGGCCAACUCGUGUAACUGCAGUGACUUGGAAAAGCAUGGAAUUCAGUUCUAUAUUAUUAUGGCACUCAUAUUCUUAAUAAAUAGAUGAAAUUUGACAAGGAAAAAAGAGAGAAGGGAAACAGGAGAAAAAUAAAAGAUGAGAUUCUACAUUUACACUGUUGAGUUCUGUUUGGUAGAGCACCUCAUCUAUACUUAUGAGGCUGUCACAUGACUGCCAUUCUGUGGACAUCUUGACUCCUCCCAACACACAUCAGCAUCCCCAGUUGCCAUGGAGUACUGCUUUAGCCACGGAGUACCACACACCCUUGACCAGUGGCAGACUCCACUACUGUCCCACCUGCAGUAUAAUACCUCAGAGACAGACCCAGGUACAUGUGCAGCUCUGAGGAAAAUCAGAGAAGGAGUUAAUUUCCCCAGGGGACACCUUUGACAGUCAGUAAAUACUCUGGCUUCCCAUCUGUUCUGUGGGCAAUUCCUGGGGGUUGAUGAUUCUGGAUGCUUCUCAGGAAAAUCAGCAAAAUUGAGCUCUCAAUGUGCAUGGCAGCAGCAUCAAUGCAACAUUCUUAUGUUGGCCUCCUCUUCUUCUGUUUCUCAUUCUCUUUCAUCCCUCAUUUCUGCAACUGGGAAUCACCUCCCAGAUAAACGACUUUGCUUUCAGGGGAACCCAAGCUAAGAAGGUCAGUAUUUUCACAGCUGCCUAUCCAGAACAAGAUAUGCUUUGGGACCAACCAUGGCAAAAUCACCUCAACCAUGGCAAAAUCAAAGUUCACAUUAGGGUUAUAAAAGGAUAGGGUUGUUUGAUGUUUUGGAAUAGUGGUUAAGAUUUAAAGAGUUGGGGCUUUCCAAGGUCUCUGUUUAUAUAUGCUCAUUCUUUAUAGCUUGUCAUUCCUGAGUAGCAUAGAUACUGUUCAUAGGAAAAAUUCAUCUGUUAUGGCACAUGAAAAGAGACACAGUUUUUUACUCUCUUGUCUGCCUUCAUUUUGGUCUGUCAAGGGUAUCCAGCAGCCAGAAGGAGUCAUAAAAAUGGUAAUGGAGAGUGACAUCAACAAAAUGGCACACUGGGGAGUAUCAAGCCUUGUUCCCUCACAGAGACACAACAACAACAACAACAAAAACCAACCAAACAAACAAACAAAAAACAGGAUAAAGUAUUCUAAUAUGAGCUAUGAAAAACAGUCAAAGGUCUAUAGCAGUCAAGAAAAUGCCCAAUCAAAAAUAAGUAAAAUUUAAAAUGGUAGAAAAUUUUGUGGUAUUUUUACUCACCCUUCCCCUCCUUUCUCUGACAUGCCACCAUCUUGGUCUGAAGGAGAUGGCAGUUCUCAAUCCCAUCACUUGAAUUGGAGGGAGCAGAGUGGACCUUAUUCACAAUGUCCUAACUUACCUGGGGGCUUCCUGAAGAUUGCACCUAACUCAGAGCUUCCUUGCACCUAACUCAGAGCUGAGGCAGUGAGAAGUAGCAGGCACUAUCUGGGAAGCUGCAGAGAGACUAAGACUUAUAGAUACCUUGGCUGACAGAUGGAAAUGUAGAAUAGACCAUUUAAGUCCCUGAGGAGAAACUGAGGUAAGACUCUGUGGAAUUAAGACAUGUAUAAGCAGCUGUGUAUAUGGGGUGAUAGAAAUGCCAUGCACAUCCGGGCAAGAUGCAUGCUCAGAAAAGACCUGAGACGACUUUAACCUUUCUCCUCAGACAGAUCCAAAGGCUCAGAACGUACCUGGCUAAUUAGAUGAGGAUGGCCCUGGCACAAAGCCAGCCUGUAAAGACUGAGAGAAGUUUAUGGUUUUGUUUUGUUUUGUUCUGUUUUUUUCAAGCACUCAAUUUUCAACAAAACAUCACAAGGUACGCACAAAAAAAUCAGAAAACAUAGCCCAUUCAAACAAAUAAAAUAAAAAGACAGAAACCGUCCCUGAGGAAACACAGGAUCAGACAUAAGACAAAGAAUUUGAAACAACAGUCUUAAAUAUGCUCAAAGAGCUAAAGAAAAACAUAGAUAAAGAAUGAAGGGAGGCUGGGCCCAGUGGCUUAUGCCUGUAAUCCCAGCACUUUGGGAGGCUGUGGUAGGAGGAUCAUUUGAGCUCAGCCUGGACAAUAU